rnacentral:lncRNA from 1 species
CUGUUGAUUCAAGAUGCUGUAACAUCCUGACAUGGAUGAAAUUUGACCUGGCAACUGUGUUUUCCAUAGCAUAGCAGUGGAAACAGAGGAGAAGAGAGCUGGAACAGCUUUGCUUGCAGAGGUAGAGCCCAUCUCAUGAAGCACUGCUAGAAACACAUAGGACCACACACACACACAAAGUAGAAGUGCCCACAGGAAUCUG